AAACUUAAAGGAAUUGACGGAAGGGCACCACCAGGAGUGGAGCCUGCGGCUUAAUUUGACUCAACACGGGGAAACUCACCAGGUCCAGACACAAUAAGGAUUGACAGAUUGAUAGCUCCUUCUUGAUUUUGUGGGUGGUGGUGCAUGGCCGUUCUUAGUUGGUGGAGUGAUUUGUCUGCUUAAUUGCGAUAACGAACGAGACCUUGACCUACUAAAUAGCUCUACUUGCGACUGCAGGUAGCUAGCUUCUUAGAGGGACUAUCUAUUACAAGUAGAUGGAAGUUCGAGGCAAUAACAGGUCUGUGAUGCCCUUAG
rnacentral:rRNA from 1 species